rnacentral:rRNA from 1 species
AUUGUCAUGCCAGCAUAAACAAAUAUAUAAAUACCCAUUAUAAAUUAAAAACAUUUUUCUGCUCCAAGUAUAGGCGAUAGAAAAGAAAACAUUAUGCUAUAGAAAAAGUACCGCAAGGGAAAGCUGAAAAAGAAAUGAAAUAAAACAUAAAAAUAAAAAAAAGCAAGAAUCAACAUCUGUACCUUUCGCAUCAUGGUCUAUCAAGUCUACCAAAGCACAAAGAUCUUAAGUUUUUUACCCCGAAACUAGACGAGCUAUUUAAGAGCAAUUUUAUUUAGAAUUAAUCCAUCCCUGUGGCAAAAGAGUGGAAAGACUCUUAAAUAGAGGCAAUAUACCUAACGAGCCUAGUGAUAGCUGGUUGCUCAACAAACGAGUUUUAGCUCCUACUUAAAUCUCAUUAUAAUAAAAACUUAUUAAUAAUAGAAAAUUAAAAGACAUUCAAAAAGGGGACAGCCUUUUUGAAACAGGAUACAACCUAUAACAAAGGGUAAUGAUUAUAUUUUACAAAGGUUUCAACCCUAGUAGGCCUAAAAGCAGCCAUCUCUUACAAACGCGUCACAGCCAUUAAAUACAAUAUCAACCAAAAAUAACAAUAAAAACUCAAAACCCUAAAAAUCAAAUGAGCUAUUAUAUAAUUUAUAUUAAAAUUAAUGCUAGAACUAGUAAUAAGAAAACAAAUUUCUCUACUACAUCCAUGUACAUCAGCACGGAUUAACCACUGAUAAUUACCAUUAAAAAGUAUAAUCCUUUUAACAAGCCAGACAACUUUAAACACACUGUUAACCCUACACAGGAAUGUAUAAUACGAAAGAUAAAAAAAUAAAGAAGGAACUCGGCAAACAAAUCAAAACUUCGCCUGUUUACCAAAAACAUCACCUUUAGCAAAAACUACAUGUAUUAAAGGCACUGCCUGCCCAGUGAUUCUUAAACGGCCGCGGUAUUCUGACCGUGCAAAGGUAGCAUAAUCACUUGUCUUUUAAAUAAAGACUAGUAUGAACGGCAAGACGAAAGCUUAACUGUCUCCUUUAUUUAAUCAAUGAAACUGAACUCCUUGUACAAAAGCAAGAAUAAACUAAUAAGACGAGAAGACCCUAUGGAACUUAAAACACGCAAACACUUUAAACCACAAUUUAAAGCUUGAUUACGCUGUUUUCGGUUGGGGCGACCACGGAGAACAAGCAUCCUCCGAGACACAAUUUCAGUAAUACAAAACAAAAAUUCAAAAUCUUGAUAAUAGACCCAAAAACAAUUGAUCAACGAACCAAGCUACCCUAGGGAUAACAGCGCAAUCUUCUCCAAGAGUACAUAUCGCCAAGAAGGUUUACGACCUCGAUGUUGGAUCAGGAUACCCAAACAGUGUAACCGCUGUUAAAGGUUUGUUUGUUCAACAAUUAAAAUCCUACGUGAUCUGAGUUCAGACCGGAGAAAUCCAGGUCAGUUUCUAUCUAUUUAUAAUUCUUUUCAAUACGCAAGGACCAAAAGAAUAGGACCAAUACUUAUAAGCAUGUCCUUAAAAAUAAUAUGAAAUAAACUCAAUCUAUAAUAUAAAAAUAACCCCAAGAAAAUGGGGUUU